rnacentral:tRNA from 2 species
CAGGAAGUAGUUUAAAAAGAAUAUUAAUUUUGGAGAUUAAUGAUGGAAUAAAUAUUUCCUUUCUGA